AACCAGGCUGGCUUCAUAAGAAGAAAAAGUGCUUUGUCUCCCUUCUGGCUGGGAUGCCCCAAGGCAUUAGACUCUAUCUGCAGCUGAGCUGUUGCUGGCAAAGCUGGUGAAAACACUAUCAGAAGAGCUGUCUUAAAGAAAGCAGAGAUGGGGGAAGCUCAGCAUCUCAGAGACCCACAGGAAUCUGAGGAGACCUUCACAUUCAUGAUGCUCGGAUGAUGUGUGCCGACCACUGCUGGCAGACGUGGGAUAUAUGCCACUUGAAGAGCACCAGUAUGGACCCAGGAAUGACUGAAAGGCAGUAAAGGGCACACUAGGACUCUGUACGAAGAGAGAGAAGAAGAUACAGCGUCUUGCUAUGUGUGAUUCUCUUUCUUCCUUCCUAUGUGGAUAGCUGCAGUGGUGUCAGUUUGUUCCCAACAUACCAGACAGAGACAGCAAUUUUCACCAGAGAAGAUCUCGAUGUGUUUUGUGCUAGAUCUGACUUUAAUUAAGUGUAGACCAUGCUCCCAUCAGUGCUGGAAUUGGCCCGUGUAACUUGCUUUAGCUAAUGAAAUGUUACCAAACACAACAUGAUCAAAGGCUUGAGAGAUGAUUUCCCUCCUGUGCUUCCGCAAUUGCCAUGGCAAGAACAUGGUCUGGUGGUCCCUGAUCCCUAAAGAAUGAAAGAUACAUGGAAAAGGCUUGGCAUAAAUGUGCAGUUUGGAGUCAAGCCCAACCUAGAUCAGACAACAUUUAGCCAACCUUCAGAUUCAUGAACAAUAAUAAAUAAUUUUUGUUUUAAUUCACUGCAUUUUGAGAUAAUUUAUUAUUCAGCACUUUGAUAACGAAAGAUGACUGAUGUGAGUAGAAAACCAUAGCUGAAUCACUCCUUUAGACAUCUUGAGGCUUCUCUCUCCAUUACCUCGCCAAAUUCUAGAGAAUAUAUUUGCUCAAUAGAGAUUGAGAAAACAAAAAAUGUAGGAUGUUGGGUACAGAGAUUAAGGGCACACUCAUUGCCUUCAAGGAACUCACAGUCCUGUUGGAGAGGCAGAUAAGUAAACUGACGAAUACAGUAAGAUGUUACAUGUGCUUUGAUAGGCUGAGGUCACACAUAGAUGGGCAGUUAUGAGGGAUACCCGAACAAAUCUAGCAGGUAAGUGAACUCACUGAAAAACUUUUAAGAAAUGGUAAUGUUAAGCUGAGUUUUGACAGAUCAGUAAGAAAUAAUCAAAUGUAGAGACAGUAAAGGUGAUAAAGCAGAACAAGUAAUAUGUGCAAUCUCUUGAGUAAAAGAAAGCAUGGCAUAAUGAAAUAUAGAAAAUAUCUCAGACUUUGAAACCAGAAGCAUAGUGGGUUUACAUCUUGAUUCCACCACUUACCAACUAUACUAAUU
rnacentral:lncRNA from 1 species